AAAGCCCCGGCGGCAUAGGAUGGGCCUGCGGCGUAUCAGGUUGUAGGGGGUGUAAUGUACCCUCUAGCCAUCUACGCGUACGGGUGUUGGGAGACAUCGCCCGGAGAUGGAUUCUGAGACACGAAUCCAGACCCUACGGGGUGCAGCAGGCGCGAAAACUUGGCAAUGCGAGAAAUCGUGACCAGGGAACUCCAAGUGCAUCGGGUAAGACCGAUGCUUUUCUUGACUCUUCAAAGGUCUUGGAAUAAGGGGUGGGUAAGGACGGUGCCAGCCGCCGCGGUAAUACCGGCGCCUCAAGUGGUAGUCGCUUUUAUUGGGCCUAAAACGUCCGUAGCCGGUUUGGUACAUUCGUGGGUAAAUCAAGGCGCUCAACGUCUUGAAUUCUGCGAGCACGGCCAGACUUGGGACCGGGUGAGGUGUGGGGUACUCUCAGGGUAGGGGUAAAAUCCUGUCAUCCUGAGAGGACCACCUGUUGCGAAGGCGCCACACUAGAACGGAUCCGACGGUCAGGGACGAAGCCUAGGGGCACGAACCGGAUUAGAUACCCGGGUAGUCCUAGGUGUAAACGCUGUGGACUUGAUGUUGGGAGUGCUCCGAGCACCCUCAGUGUCGAAGCGAAGGUGAUAAGUCCACUGCCUGGGGAGUACGGUCGCAAGGCUGAAACUUAAAGGAAUUGGCGGGGGAGCACAGCAACCUGAGGAUUGUGCGGUUUAAUUGGAUUCAACGCCGGAAAACUCACCAUAGCCGACGGACAUAUGAAGGCCAGCGUAACGAGCUUGCCGGAUUGUUCGAGAGGUAGUGCAUGGCCGUCGUCAGUUCGUACCGCAAGGCGUUCUGUUAAGUCAG
rnacentral:rRNA from 1 species